AGGAAUAUUGGUCAAUGGGCGAGAGCCUGAACCAGCCAAGUAGCGUGAAGGAUGACUGCCCUAUGGGUUGUAAACUUCUUUUAUAAAGGAAUAAAGUCGGGUAUGGAUACCCGUUUGCAUGUACUUUAUGAAUAAGGAUCGGCUAACUCCGUGCCAGCAGCCGCGGUAAUACGGGGGAUCCGAGCGUUAUCCGGAUUUAUUGGGUUUAAAGGGAGCGUAGACGGGCCGUUAAGUCAGCUGUGAAAGUUUGAGGCUCAACCUUAAAAUUGCAGUUGAUACUGGCGUCCUUGAGUACGGUUGAGGCAGGCGGAAUUCGUGGUGUAGCGGUGAAAUGCUUAGAUAUCACGAAGAACCCCGAUUGCGAAGGCAGCCUACUAAACCGCCACUGACGUUGAGGCUCGAAAGUGUGGGUAUCAAACAGGAUUAGAUACCCUGGUAGUCCACACGGUAAACGAUGAAUACUCGCUGUUUGCGAUAUACUGCAAGCGGCCAAGCGAAAGCGUUAAGUAUUCCACCUGGGGAGUACGCCGGCAACGGUGAAACUCAAAGGAAUUGACGGGGGCCCGCACAAGCGGAGGAACAUGUGGUUUAAUUCGAUGAUACGCGAGGAACCUUACCCGGGCUUAAAUUGCAGAUGAAUUACGGUGAAAGCCGUAAGCCGCAAGGCAUCUGUGAAGGUGCUGCAUGGUUGUCGUCAGCUCGUGCCGUGAGGUGUCGGCUUAAGUGCCAUAACGAGCGCAACCCUUGUUGUCAGUUACUAACAGGUUCCGCUGAGGACUCUGACAAGACUGCCAUCGUAAGAUGUGAGGAAGGUGGGGAUGACGUCAAAUCAGCACGGCCCUUACGUCCGGGGCUACACACGUGUUACAAUGGGGGGUACAGAGGGCCGCUACCACGCGAGUGGAUGCCAAUCCCCAAAACCUCUCUCAGUUCGGACUGGAGUCUGCAACCCGACUCCACGAAGCUGGAUUCGCUAGUAAUCGCGCAUCAGCCACGGCGCGGUGAAUACGUUCCCG
rnacentral:rRNA from 1 species